rnacentral:lncRNA from 1 species
CUUAGAAAAAGCUCAAGAGAACCAGAGAAACCGAGCAGCAUCAGCCCCUCCAUCGUCGCACACCCGCCAGACCAUUUUCCCCCUCUGUUUUCUCUUCUACCGAUUUCUGCUCCAGCUGAUCGUUUGCCAAAGAUCCGAGUGAAAAGUUGACUUCCCGGAUGAAUAAGCCAACGAGCCACCCAUCUCCACGACGAGGACAUCCAGACCGUUCCAUAGAGCCUAGCCUUGCCCCGAAGAGUCCGGUACGCCGAUGUGAAGUUACCGGUCGCUAGUCCGUCGAUCCCCUGCCUACCUGCACUAUUUUCAUUUUUCUUCAUUAUUCUCCCAUUUCGACCCUUCCUUUGGCCGUCCCAUCCACCUACAAGACCCCCAGGAGCCGCCGAUUGCCGACCACCCGCUCGCCGAAGCUUUGGCCAAGCCUAUUUAGCUCUGUUUCUCCUCCGAUGACCAGUUUUUCCAAGUUGCAAAGGUAGUCCAAAUUUGUGGCUGCUGUUUCAGCCUUGGGAUCGCAUUGGAUCUCUGUGGUUGAGGUUCCCGAGCCUCCUUGCCGCCGUCAAUCAGCCGUACGCCGCCCCCAAGCUGCCGAACCUUUGCCGCUCACUAUUUCCGCGCCAAACCGCCGCCGGUUCCAACUGCUCGGCUCAAGAUCAGAAAUCGAGGACAGCAAGGGUUUUCGGUCUUUGAGGCCCGUUUUAGGUUUGUCGCCGUCGUCGUGGAUUCACCGGAACGCUAAACCGAUGAGUUUAUCUCUCGCUUAAGAGGUUAAUCAUGCUUAAUGGGUGUUUAGAUUAGCAUAAUGAUAUUUAAGUGGUUAGAUUAGUUUAAUUAAGUGUGGAUUAGAUUAAGUGAUGGAUUAGUUUAGCGGAUGGAUUAAUUAUUCUAAUUAUGCGAUUAGAUUAGUGUAAUCCUAAUUAGACUUUUAAUUAAUUAUUUUAUUUAUUUAUUUAUUUAAAAUUAAAUUUUAUUUAAUUAUAUUAUUUAAUAUUUAAUUAGUUUAAUUUUCGGAAUUGAUUUAAUUAUUUAAUUAAUUAAAAUUUUCCAAAAAUUCGAUCGAGAUGGCCGAUCGUUAGAAGUUCGCUCUGACUACUGUGGUAUGGUCGGAUUUUGGAAUUGGAUGCUGGAUUGGGCAUUUGAUGAUGAAUUAUGAAAUUGCAUGUUGUAUAUGUGAAUUGGGUGAUUUAUGCAAUUGGCUAUUGAUUGUUCGAUUGAAUGCUUAUUUGUGCGAUUGUGGGGCAUUUGAGAGUUAACAAGCAUGUUAUUGUGAGUUAGACCAAGAUACCACCGAAUUGAGAAUCGGUUGUGCAGUUGAGCCGUAAUUCAGCAUUACCACAGAACUUGGAAUCGGUUGUACAACUGAGCCGUAAUUCAGCAUUACCACCGAACUUGGAAUCGGUCGUGCUGCUGAGCCGUAAUUCAGCAUUACCACUUUAUCUAGGUCGUGCCGCUGAGCCGUAAUUCAGCAUUACUACCGAAUUUGGAAUCGGUUGUGCCCACUGAGCCGUAAUUCAGCAUUACCGCCAAAGUUUUAGUUGGUUGUGCUCGCUAAGCCGUAAUUCAGCGUUGGGUUGAGUAUUUGAGAUAACCGUGUAGGCCAUGCUCUCUAAGCCAUUAUUCAGCGUUGGGAUUAAGUAAUUGAGAUGACCAGGGAAUGGUCUCGUUGACAUGUAAUCGACUAAGUCAAUUGAUUGAUGAUUCGAUCUAAAUUCUUGAUUGAUGUGAUUCGAUGAUUGUUUAUUGAAUUGUGCUAACGUGAAGGAAGGAACUGAGGCAAGGUAAGUCCCAUGUGUUGUGUGGUUAGGCCACCUCUGAGUGUAUUUCCUUUUUAAUAGGGAUUUAGGGGGUGAACUUGCUGAAACAAUGUCUCACCCCAGUUGUGGGCUUAUCUUUUCAGGUCCGUAGAUGUUGGUUAUGGAGGACCGAAGCCCCGGAGUUUGUGGAGGCAGAGUUUGAAGGAUCGUCGUAUGUGUCCGACUAGUAGGUCAUAGGACAACUUCUUUUGAGAGUCGACCUGUUGUAGCCUUUGGGAAAAUCUCAAAUAAUGACUCAAAGUGAGCCUACUUUCUCAAAUAAGGAUCCGAAGU